AAUACACCAAUCAGCACCCUGUGUCUAGCUCAGGGUUUGUGAAUGCACCAAUCGACACUCUGUACCUAGCUAUUCUGGUGGGGCCUUGGAGAACCUUUAUGUCAACACUCUGUAUCUAGCUAAUCUGGGGGGGACGUGGAGAACCUUUGUGUCUAGCUCAGGGAUUGUAAACGCACCAAUCAGCGCCCUGUCAAAACAGACCACUCGGCUAUACCAAUCAGCAGGAUGUGGGUGGGGCCAGAUAAGAGAAUAAAAGCAGGCUGCCUGAGCCAGCAGUGGCAACCCACUCGGGUCCCCUUCCACACUGUGGAAGCUUUGUUCUUUUGCUCUUUGCAAUAAAUCUUGCUAGUGCUCACUCUUUGGGUCCACGCUGCUUUUAUGAGCUGUAACACUCACCACAAAGGUCUGCAGCUUCACUCCUGAAGCCAGCGAGAUCACGAGCCCACCAGGAGGAACGAAGAACUCCAGACGCGCUGCCUUAAGAGCUGUUAACACUCACCACGAAGGUCUGCAGCUUCACUCCUGAGCCAGCGAGACCACAAACCCACCAGAAGGAAGAAACUCUGAACACAUCCAAACAUCAGAAGGAACAAACUCCAGACACGCCACCUUAAGAGCUGUAACACUCACCGCAAGGGUCCACGGCUUCAUUUUUGAAGUCAGUGACACCAAGAACCCACCAAUUCCGGACACAAUACAUUGAAAUAUUAUUUAUACUUAGAAAAUAACAUCUUGGCCGGGCACUGUGGCUCAUGCCUAUAAGCCCAGCACUUUUGGAGGCCGAGGCAGGUCGAUCACCUGAGGUUGGAGUUGGAGACCAGUCUGACCAACAUGGAGAAACCUUGUCUCUACUAAAAAUACAAAAUUAGCCAGGUGUGGUGGCACAUGCCUGUAAUCCCAGCUACUCAGGAGGCUGAGACAGGAGAAUUGCUUGAACCUGAAAGGCAGAGGCUGCGGUGAGCCGAGGUUGUGCCACUGAACUCCAGCCUGCUGUCUCAAAAAAAAAAAAAAGAAAACGUCUUGUUACAUACUACAACAUGCGUGAAACCUCAGGAUAAUUGCAAUAAGCAAAAUACAAUAGAAUUCAUCUUACAGAACUUAUGUAGAUUUGUCAAACUAUCUCAAGUGUACGUGUAAAAUUCCUUAAGCUGGUAAGUUUUAAGUUUUGUUUUCCAAUAAGUAAUGAUAAUAAAUCAUGGUAGCAGCCAGGUGUGGUGACUCAUGCCUAUAAUUCCAGUACUUUAGGAGGCCAAGGCAGGUGCAAUUAUGGAGGUCAGCAGUUUGAGACCUGCCUGGCCAACGUGGUGGAACUCCAUCUCUACUAAAAAUACAAAAAUUAGCCAGGCGCAACAGCAUGGUACUGGUACCAAAACAGAGAUAUAGACCAAUGGAACAGAACAGAGCCCUCAGAAAUAAUACCACACAUAUACAACCAUCUGAUCUUUGACGAACCUGACAAAAACAACAAAUGGGGAAACGAUUCCCUAUUUAAUAAAUGGUGCUGGGAGAACUGGCUAGCCAUAUGUAGAAAGCUGAAACUGGAUCCCUUCCUUACGCCUUAUACAAAAAUUAAUUCAAGAUGGAUUAAAGACUUAAAUGUUAGACCUAAAACCAUAAAAACCCUAGAAGAAAACCUAGGCAAUACCAUUCAGACAUAGGCAUGGGCAAGGACUUCAUCACUAAAACACCAAAAGCAAUGGCAACAAAAGCCAAAAUUGACAAAUGGGAUCUAAUUAAACUAAAGAGCUUCUGCACAGCAAAAGAAACUACCAUCAGAAUGAACAGGCAACCUAUAGAAUGGGAGAAAAUUUUUACAAUCUACCCAUCUGACAAAGGGCUAAUAUCCAGAAUCUACAAAGAACUU
rnacentral:lncRNA from 1 species